ensembl:snRNA U6 U6 spliceosomal RNA
GUGCUCACUUCAACAGCACAUAUACCAAAAUUGGAACAAUCCAGAGAAGAUUAGCAUGGCCCCUGUGCAAGGAUGACAUGCAAAUUUGUGAAGCAUUCCAUGUUUUU